UGGAAGAUUAAUUUUCUAGAC
ensembl:piRNA 21ur-3778 ncRNA